GUUUUUUUAAUUAAAAAUAUAUAGAUAAAAAUGUUCAAUUUAUCAUCCCUGCAUGGUAAUGGUUCAUUCCUGCAUAUAUUGCAGGGGUGAACUAUUAACUUUGGGGGCCUACCCAAUUAACCCAAAUCAACCUAAAAUGUCAAAUGGUGAGAGCUAUGCUAAGGUAUCAUCAUCCUUGGGUAACAUGCUUUAGAGGAGCUAGACUUGUACUCCCAUUCUGCAUUGUCACAUUAUUUGCAUAAUUGAUAAAUGACAAAAUAUAUUUUGAUUUUACCAACUACCGACAAAACCAGUAGAAGACAGAACCAUAUUUACUAUUUAUCAUCAUUUAAAACGUUGAUAUUUUCAAAUCCAAUAAUAGUUAAAUUCAAAUCCAAUCAACAAUUUAAACUUUAUCUAGAUAUAAAAAUUAUAUAUUUUUUUCUUAAAUUUUUAAUUGAAAUUAUUAUUUUUUUUGACU
rnacentral:lncRNA from 1 species